rnacentral:misc_RNA from 1 species
GUUAUUUUUUUUUACUAGUUGUUUUUCUUGUAUCCUCAAAUGUGUAUACAUGUCUAUGUGAUUUCAUUUUAACCAUAGAGGCUAUUAUGCCAAUAGAUUACAUUAAUCAGCUCUUAGGUGAAUAUUGUAAUAUUUAGUUUGAUUGUCUAGGUGACAACAUAUACAAGUGCUUCUAGGUUUUGGACUGCUCCAGUAGAAAAUAUAAAUGAGGAAGUGACUAAUUUGGGAAAGGUAGGUGAAGGAGAAAAAGUUACUGGGAGACUACACUCCAUUAAGGGGCAAGGAGGUUUAAUGAUCUCUUACUUGAUGUUGAUAGGAAUUAUUUUAAACUUUCUAGGUAUAGCUUAGAGAGUUGAAUAUGGGAUUUGUGUAAAGCCAUGCUUACUGGUGGUUGCAAAAUUCUUUCUACUCUUAUUUUCAAAUGACACUGUUGAAUUAACCUUAUAAGUCAUUGUUUAUAAUAUGGAUGUAGCUUGAGAGUGGAAUUCAGAGUUUGCUUUUAUGAUGUUAUGUUUGGAAUUCUAUGCACUCUUGUGCACAAAAAAAUUAUGUUGAACUAAUUUUAGUCAUGGUAAUGUUUUAUUAUGAAUUUCUAGGUGUUUUCUACAGAAUAGUACCUACAAAUUUUAUGCAAGUUGUGCGUAUACAUUUUAAUAAAUUGCACCUUGCAUCCCUCAAAUGCGUAUCCAGGCACAGGUUAAUUGUGC